rnacentral:rRNA from 1 species
GACGAACGCUGGCUGCGUGCUUAACACAUGCAAGUCGAACGCUGAAACCCUGGUGCUUGCACCGGGGUGGAUGAGUGGCGAACGGGUGAGUAACACGCGAGUAACCUGCCCCCGACUUCGGGAUACGCCCGGGAAACAGGGUCUAAUACCGGAUAUGAGCGCCCCUCGCACGAGGGCUGCGUGAAAGUCUUUUCGGUUGGGGAUGGGCUAGCGGCCUAUCAGUUUGUUGGUGAGGUAAUGGCUCACCAAGACGACGCCGGGGAGCCGGCCAGGGAGGGCGACCGGCCACACUGGGACUGAGACACGGCCCAGACUCCUACGGGAGGCAGCAGUGGGGAAUAUUGCACAAUGGGGGAAACCCUGAUGCAGCGACGCAGCGGGCGGGAUGACGGCCUUCGGGUUGUAAACCGCUGUCAGCAGGGAAGAAGCCCCUUGGGGUGACGGUACCUGCAGAAGAAGUACCGGCUAACUACGUGCCAGCAGCCGCCGUAA